GGUGCAAAUUAUGUGUCUGUUAGUGACCAAAGCCUGACUUCGGUGAUUAGUCUCAACAAACUGCACC
ensembl:snoRNA SNORD4B small nucleolar RNA, C/D box 4B